GGAGGGAGUGCCAGAUCUUGCACUGUGUCCCCUGAGGCCCUGUGCUCUGGGGCCUGCCCGCUGGAAUCAUGGUCUCAGGGCUGCGCAGCCCCCU
rnacentral:pre_miRNA from 1 species